rnacentral:rRNA from 1 species
CCUACGGGUGGCAGCAGUGGGGAAUAUUGCGCAAUGGGCGAAAGCCUGACGCAGCGACGCCGCGUGAGGGAUGAAGGUCUUCGGAUUGUAAACCUCUGUCAGCAGGGAAGAACGGUCACUGUGCUAAUCAGCAGUGAAUUGACGGUACCUGCAAAGGAAGCACCGGCUAACUCCGUGCCAGCAGCUGCGGGAAUACGGAGGGUGCGUGCGUUAAUCGGAAUUAUUGGGCGUAAAGAGCUCGUAGGCGGUAUGUCAAGUCAAGGGGUAAAUCCCCGCGCUCAACGUGGGAACUGCCUUUGAAACUGGCAAACUGGAGUGUGUGAGAGGAUAGUGGAAUUCCAGGUGUAGGAGUGAAAUCCGUAGAUAUCUGGAGGAACAUCAGUGGCGAAGGCGACUAACUGGCACAUAACUGACGCUGAGGAGCGAAAGCGAGGGUAGCAAACAGGAUUAGAUACCCUAGUAGUC